AUUGAACGCUGGCGGAAUGCUUUACACAUGCAAGUCGAACGGCAGCACGGGGCAACCUGGUGGCGAGUGGCGAACGGGUGAGUAAUACAUCGGAACGUGCCCAGUCGUGGGGGAUAACGUAGCGAAAGCUACGCUAAUACCGCAUACGAUCUACGGAUGAAAGCGGGGGACGUCGCAAGAGCCUCGCGCGAUUGGAGCGGCCGAUGGCAGAUUAGGUAGUUGGUGGGGUAAAGGCUCACCAAGCCUGCGAUCUGUAGCUGGUCUGAGAGGACGACCAGCCACACUGGAACUGAGACACGGUCCAGACUCCUACGGGAGGCAGCAGUGGGG
rnacentral:rRNA from 1 species